GGCUGUCGUCAGCUCGUGUCGUGAGAUGUUGGGUUAAGUCCCGCAACGAGCGCAACCCACGUCUUUAGUUGCCAGCAUUAAGUUGGGCACUCUAGAGAGACCGCCGGUGAUAAACCGGAGGAAGGUGUGGAUGACGUCAAGUCAUCAUGCCCCUUACAUCCUGGGCUACACACGUACUACAAUGCUACGGACAAAGGGCAGCAAACUCGCGAGAGCUAGCAAAUCCCAUAAACCGUGGCUCAGUUCAGAUCGUAGGCUGCAACUCGCCUACGUGAAGGAGGAAUCGCUAGUAAUCGCAGGUCAGCAUACUGCGGUGAAUACGUUCCCGGGCCUUGUACACACCGCCCGUCACACCAUGGAAGUUGGCCACGCCCGAAGUCGUUACUCCAACCCUUGUGGAGGAGGAUGCCGAAGGUGGGGCUGAUGACUGGGGUGAAGUCGUAACAAGGUGGCCGUACCGGAAGGUGCGGCUGGAUCACCUCCUAA
rnacentral:rRNA from 1 species